AAGGGAAUGGGCACUGUUCAGAAAGGAAUGCCCUAUAGGUGUUACCACGGCAAAACCAGAAGACUUCAGUGUCACCCAGCAUGUCGUGAGCAUCAUUGUAAACAAGCAAGUUAAAGGCAAGAUUCUGGCCAAGAGGAUCAAUGUGCGGACUGAGCACCACAAGCACUGAUGAGCAGAGAUCGCUUCCUGAAGCGGGUGAGGGAGAACGAUCAGAAGAAAAAGGAAGCCAAAGAGAAGGGCGCCUGGGUUCAGCUGAAGUAUCAGCCUGUGCCACGCAGAGAAGUGCACUCUGUGAGGAGUAACAGGAAGGAGCCUGAGCUGCUAGAGCCCAUUCCAUAUGGAUUCUUGGCCUAAUGGACAAAAAGGAAAUGAAGGACAGGAUUGCAAAAA
rnacentral:lncRNA from 1 species